GCGCCUGUAGCUCAACGGAUAGAGCAGUCGCGUUCUAAGCGAUCGGUUGGGGGUUCGAAUCCCUCCAGGCGCGCAA
rnacentral:tRNA from 4 species